AUGACUCCAACCUAAGUGUAUGUAAACUUCCAACUUCAACUGUACAUCAAGUAUAUAACGCUAUGCACUUCGGUCUCAAAGUACUUUAAACAGUAUUCAGCACAAUACUACAUAAGGAGGACCUCCCUGAAAGUGAUUACUAUUGAGUGUGGCAUACUUCACAUUGCAUUGUCACACUGCCCUGAGACUUUCCUCGACAACCCUUGUUGGAGAACCGGCGCACUAAUGAUUUCUAUGUAAAUAAUUAUCCCAGUUACUGGACUACCGACAACUGCUGAGCACUCUAGCACAAAAUGGCUGCUAAUCACCAAGUUGGCUGCUAUACACAUUGGAGGGGAAUGGGGUGAGUGACCCAUACAAUGUAAAGUACUUGUAGAGGUGAUCAAGUUUAAGAUAUUUAAAUAGAAUCCCUUACUAUCGCAAUGACUAGCACCUGAACCAUCCCUUUAGACAAUCCCCUCUUUCCCCAACACAGUUUUAUUGAGCUAAGGAUCCAUACCACUACUAGCUAGCAAACUAAUUGUCAAUGCAGAGAGAUCCCCUAGACAGCCCCCGGAGGUCCCAGUGCUGUGUUGUACAUGUCGGUUCUGCUGUGUCAAUUGGUUUCCCCUCGAGGCAGAAGCAUAGUGUGAGGCAGCACUUACAUUAUUCAGAGCUAACAUGAGAUGCGUAUGUGCGUGUGUGUGUGCGUGCGUAUGUGUGUGUGUGCGUGUGUGUGUGUGUGAGGGAGAGCAGGUGCGAAGGAGACCAGAGCAGGCGCAUCACAGCAUCAGAUGAAAGAAGGGAAGAGAAACCUGUCAAGACAAGAGGUGGGGUCCCUCCUGUGCUACCCUAUUCCCUCAACCGACCAGUGCAGAGGGAGUCAUCAUCGUGCUAACCGCCUGACUCCAUCGGGCUGUUUUUGAUCACCCGCCUGAGGAUCGAGAGGCGGGCGAACGACUGGUUCAUCUAAG